AACGAACGCUGGCGGCAUGCCUAACACAUGCAAGUCGAACGAGACCUUCGGGUCUAGUGGCGCACGGGUGCGUAACGCGUGGGAACCUGCCCUUAGGUUCGGAAUAACUCCCCGAAAGGGGUGCUAAUACCGGAUAAUGUCUUCGGACCAAAGAUUCAUCGCCUUUGGAUGGGCCCGCGUUGGAUUAGCUAGUUGGUAGGGUAAAAGCCUACCAAGGCGACGAUGCAUAGCUGGUCUGAGAGGAUGAUCAGCCACACUGGGACUGAGACACGGCCCAGACUCCUACGGGAGGCAGCAGUGUGGAAUAUUGGACCAUGGGCGAAAGCCUGAUCCAGCACUGCCGCGUGAAUGAUGAAGGCCUUAGGGUUGUAAAGCUCUUUUACCCGGGAUGAUAAUGACAGUACCGGGAGAAUAAGCACCGGCUAACUCCGUG
rnacentral:rRNA from 1 species